UCACGUCUUACGACGGCAGUUUCACUAGAGUUCCCAGCGUUACCUGAUGGCAACUAGUGAUGGGGGUUGCGCUCGUUGCGGGACUUAACCCAACACCUCACGGCACGAGCUGACGACAGCCAUGCAGCACCUGAACCGGCAGUCCCCGAAGGGAAAGUCCUAUCUCUAGGACGGUCCACCGUUGUCUAGCCCAGGUAAGGUUCUUCGCGUUGCGUCGAAUUAAACCACAUGCUCCACCGCUUGUGCGAGCCCCCGUCAAUUCCUUUGAGUUUUAAUCUUGCGGCCGUACUCCCCAGGCGGAGAGCUUAAUGCGUUAGCUGCGCCACCGAACAGUAUACUGCCCGACGGCUAGCUCUCAUAGUUUACGGCGUGGACUAC
rnacentral:misc_RNA from 1 species